UACGUAGGGGGCUAGCGUUGUCCGGAUUUAUUGGGCGUAAAGAGCGCGUAGGCGGCCGAGUAAGUCCGACGUGAAAUCUGGAGGCUCAACCUCCAGCGGUCGUUGGAAACUACUCGGCUAGAGUCCGGGAGAGGAGAGUGGAAUUCCUGGUGUAGCGGUGAAAUGCGCAGAUAUCAGGAAGAACACCCGUGGCGAAAGCGGCUCUCUGGAACGGUACUGACGCUGAGACGCGAAAGCGUGGGGAGCGAACAGG
rnacentral:rRNA from 1 species